GACGAACGCUGGCGGCGUGCUUAACACAUGCAAGUCGAGCGAGAACCAGACCUUCGGGUCUGGGGAAAGCGGCGAACGGGUGAGUAACACGUGGGCAACCUGCCCCAGAGACCGGGACAACACUUCGAAAGGGGUGCUAAUACCGGAUGAAGUGCCACCUGCCAAGUAGGUGUCACCAAAUGGUAGCUUCGGCCUCCGCUCUGGGAUGGGCCCGCGCAGCAUUAGCUUGUUGGUGAGGUAACGGCUCACCAAGGCGACGAUGCUUAGCUGGUCUGAGAGGACGAUCAGCCACACUGGGACUGAGACACGGCCCAGACUCCUACGGGAGGCAG
rnacentral:rRNA from 1 species